rnacentral:rRNA from 1 species
CCCUUAGAUGUUCUGGGCCGCACGCGCGCUACACUGAUGCAUUCAACGAGUCUAAAACCUGCUCUGAUAGGGGUGGGUAAUCUUUUGAAUGUGCAUCGUGAUUGGGAUAGAUGAUUGAAAUUUUUCAUCUUCAACGAGGAAUGCCUAGUAAACGCAAGUCAUCAGCUUGCAUUGAUUACGUCCCUGCCCUUUGUACACACCGCCCGUCGCUCCUACCGAUUGAAUGGUCCGGUGAAGCGUUCGGACCGUGGCCUUUGGACGGUUCGCCGUCUGUUGGCUGCGGGAAGUUCGUUAAACCUUAUCAUUUAGAGGAGGGAGAAGUCGUAACA